rnacentral:rRNA from 1 species
CAGCCGCCACGGGAAUACGUAGGGUCCGAGCGUUGUCCGGAAUUAUUGGGCGUAAAGAGCUCGUAGGCGGUCUGUCGCGUCUGCCGUGAAAUCCUCAGGCUCAACCUGAGGCGUGCGGUGGGUACGGGCAGGCUAGAGUGCGGUAGGGGAGAAUGGAACUCCUGGUGUAGCGGUGGAAUGCGCAGAUAUCAGGAAGAACACCGAUGGCGAAGGCAGUUCUCUGGGCCGUAACUGACGCUGAGGAGCGAAAGCGUGGGGAGCGAACAGGAUUAGAUACCCGUGUAGUCCCUGUCUCUUAUAC